rnacentral:rRNA from 1 species
UGGGGAAUAUUGCACAAUGGGGAAGACCCUGAUGCAGCGACGCCGCGUGAAGGAAGAAGUAUCUCGGUAUGUAAACUUCUAUCAGCAGGGAAGAAAAUGACGGUACCUGACUAAGAAGCCCCGCUAACUACGUGCCAGCAGCCGCGGUAAUACGUAGGGGCGAAGCGGUUAUCCGGAUUUACUGGGUGUAAAGGGAGCGUAGACGGAGCAGCAAGUCUGAUGUGAAAGGCAGGGGCUCAAGCCCCUGCACCUGCAUUGGAAACUGUUGAUCUUGAGUACCGGAGGGGUAAGCGGAAUUCCUAGUGUAGGGUGAAAAUGCGUAGAUAUUAGGAGGAACACCAGUGGCGAAGGCGGCUUACUGGACGGUAACUGACGUUGAGGCUCGAAAAGCGUGGGGAGCAAACAGGAUAGAUACC